UCCUACGGGUGGCUGCAGUGGGGAAUAUUGCGCAAUGGGGGAAACCCUGACGCAGCGACGCCGUGUGAGUGAUGAAGGCUUUCGGGUCGUAAAGCUCUGUCGGAUGGGACGAAUAAUGACUGUGUGAAUAAUGCAGUCAGAUGACGGUACCGUCGAAGGAAGCACCGGCUAACUCCGUGCCAGCAGCCGCGGUAAUACGGAGGGUGCAAGCGUUGUUCGGAAUUAUUGGGCGUAAAGAACGUGUAGGCGGGUUUGUGUGGCAGAGGUGAAAGCCCUCGGCUCAACCGAGGAAGUGCUUCUGAAACUGCAAAUCUUGAGUACGAGAGAGGAGAGUGGAAUUCCCAGUGUAGAGGUGAAAUUCAUAGAUAUUGGGAAGAACACCGGCGGCGAAAGCGGCUCUCUGGCUCGAUACUGACGCUGAGACGUGAAAGCGUGGGGAGCAAACAGGAUUAGAUACCCCUGUAGUCAGU
rnacentral:rRNA from 1 species